UGGCUUUUGUUUUGUUUUUAGAACAUUAUGUUGUACCUAAAACCACAGGAAUACAAUUAUUCUUUGAGGGUUUGGGAGAGGGAGGUCUAAUUAAGCAGGUCUCCUCUGUUACAGGCGCACCUGUGAAAAGAACUGACUGGGACAUGAGUUAUUUAUACCAAACUGAAGGCGAGAUUGCUCAAUAUAAGAUUAAGUUUAUUAUUUGAGAGUAGAAUCCAGAACAAAAGAGAUAAUUAACAUCAGAAUAAUACAAAUACCAUUAUUUUCUUGUCUUUGGUGAUUUCUUUUUUGUACAACUAUGCCAGGGACUUCAACAUUUGAGGCCAUGGAGCAAAACUGCUGAUUUUUAAAAAAGUAAUUAAAUAACAGUCAGCCCAACCAUAUAGACAAUGGAACUUCAAAAGACCUGCACUUUACAGACAUGGAGAAGUAAGCAGGAGGAAACACAUAAAAGAUGGAGUGAAUAAAAUAAAGCUUCAUGUGAAAUGAUGUCAUGCAGUGCUUAUGAAAUGGACUGCUCAUAUCAAGACAAAGGUUAUCCUGAAAAUUACUUUGAUAUGGAUAUGUUUCUUCAUAUUUACUGUGAUGUACUUUAACUGAAGAAUCUUCUGGAACAACAGUGGCAAGGAUAGUAACUUUUUAACCAUGCUAUCUGAAUCCUGUUCAGAACAGAUUUAAGAAUAAAUGACAAAGUUGUAAUAGUCUAAUGACUUAUCUACAUGAUUAUUACUACUAUUGGCAAAGAACAGAAAACAAAAAAAAUCUAUCAUGGAUGGAUUUAAUGAGCCAGCUAAGGUUAUUCAGUGUUACCACAGCAAUCCGACUGACUGUAUAAAAAACACUUCUCCAUGAAUAUUUUUCAGCCUGAAGAAUAAUCAGUUAUGCAUCGAUGUAGACUAACCUUUCCAUAUGUCUUGCACUACAGACUAAACAUACUGUUUUAAAGCUUUGUCUUUAAAAUCAUUAUUGCAUCAGGAGUUCAGUGGUGUAGUAGAAGACAGCAAAUCCCAGGAAUCAAGGGACUGAAACUCUUUACCAGUUGCUUCAAAAUACAGGAGUAUAAUAUAAAACAAAUGGCUAUUUAUGGUUGUAUAAUACUAUCGGUAUGAAUAGUAAUUUAUUCCUUAAAACCCAAAAGGUUUUUACCCUGAUUUUCCAAUGUAGUGCUGAAAACAGUAGUGAGGGUCAGUUUCCUUCUCGACUUCACAAUAUUUAUAGAAUUGCUGUAGUAUAAGUGAUUGGCAACUAUGAACUAAACAGAAAUAAAUACCUUGAGGAAUUGUGUUGACACCGUACCUAAGAGUAAAAAUAUUGAUGCAGAGUGAAAGACAGAUUUCCCUGAAGCCAAUGAGGAUUUUGCUACUGGGUUCCACAUUGCCAGCAUUUCACUGCCAGUACACCGAGUUUGGCUAUUUUUACCUUGAAUUAAUGUGCAGUUCAUCUGCUUUCCUAUCCCUCCCCGCUCAUUUUCUCCUCUUCCUACUCUCCCUCCCUCCUCACCUCUCUUUGGUUCCUGUUCUAUAUCUGCUGCAUCUGCCAAGCAGUUAAAUUUUAAAAUAGAUUUUCCCUUUGAAGUGCUAAUGCCAGCACUGCUAUUUCUAUAGCAAGUAACUUCACUGACUGUUGUGGUUUGCUUUUACUUGUUUUAUUUGUUUGUAUGUGCCUAUGUAGGGUGUUAUAUGUUUUUUAACAGUGAAGAGCUGGAAAAAAAUGGAAAGAAAGAAAAAAUCUCCUAAUUAAGUUUUAUAAAUAAAAGUUAAAUCCCAGAUGCUCCAACUCAGGCUGUGAUUUUGUCAGAUCUCACAACCUAAACGGGCCAAACUUGGUGAGUAAUCAGACAGGAGACCUCUGAGGAAAACCCAGGGUGGUGUAUGUGGUGGCACUGAAGAUUCAGUAGCUGCCACUGUUCCUUUUCAGUAAGUGUUCAAUCAUUGCUUAUGUUGUUCUUUCUUCAUUCAGUCCAACAGUGGCUAUUGAACGUAAGACUGUACAGAACCUCUGUUUCAGAAGACCUUUACACUGUUUAUUGCCAGAAGGUAGGAGGAUGUUCCUCUGAAAGGACCAAUUUGUACGCACUCUUUUUAUAGUCUUUAACCAUCUGCUAGUGGCCAAGGAUAGGAAAGUAGAUGAACCGACAGCUGGCUGAACGCUAGCUGGCAGUGGGCCCAGGUGGCCAAGGCAGCCAACAGCAUCCUGGCCUGUAUUAGAAAUAGGGUGGCCAGCAGGACUAGGGCAGUGAUGGUCCCCCUGUUGCUCAACACGGUUGAGGCUGCACCUCAACUAUCAUGUUCAGUUUUGGGUCCCUCACUACAAGAAAGAUACUCAGGUGCUGGAGUAUGCCCAGAGAAGGGCAACAAAGCUGGUGAAGGGUCUAGAGAACAAGUCCUAUGAGGAGCGGCUGAGGGAUCUGGGGUUGUUUAGCCUGAAGAAAAGGAGGCUCAGGGGAGAGAUCUUCUCGCUCUCUACAGCUGCCUGACAGGGGCUGUAGGUGGAGUGGGUCGGUCUCUUCUCCCAGGUAACAAGUGACAGGACAAGAGGGAAUGGGCUCAAGUUGUGCCAGGAGAGGUUCAGAUUGUGUAUUAGGAAAAACUUCUUCAGUGAAGGGGUUGUCUAGCGUUGGAACAGGUUGCCCGGGGAAGUGGUGGAGCCACCAUCCCUGGAGGUAUUUAAAAGACAUGUAUAUGUGGUAUUUAGGAACAAGGUUCAGUGAUGGACUUGGAAGUGCUAGGUUAAUGAUUGGACUUGAUAAUCUUAAAGGUAUUUUCCAACCUGAAGUAUUUUGUGAUUCUAUGAUUCUAUAACUAUACAUUGGAAACAGACUACUGGACCUUUGAUCAGUUCCAGCAUGGCAUUCAUUUCCUUUUUUAAUAGUGAGAUUUUUUUGUGUGUAUUGAGCACUUGAGCAAUCACUGCUGUAUUCUUCAAGAUGGUUCUUUUUGCUGUUGAGUAAAAUAUGCAUGUGUGUGCUUAUUUUAAACAUCUAUACUUCCCUUAUUUACAGUAAUGACUGACUGCCCUAAUGUGACCGUUGCACAAUAUGCUGUACAUUUAUGUAGCAAAGUAAAAAGAAAAAAAAUGCAUUCCAUACUUAACUGUUACCCUUAAAGAAUAUGGGAGUCCUUACUGAUACUGUGAGAUUUAGAAAGUGCAGAGGUGUCCAUUUCAAUAUGUUUCAUUCUUUCACACACGGAAUGUUUCAUCCAUGAGUGUGUUGCACCUUCCACAUAAGUUCUUUCAUUUACCUACAGGUAUAGAAAAAGCCCAGCUGAUUAAUAAUGAAGUCGACAGUUACAUGUGCAUUGAGAAAAUUAAUCAUUUGCAUAAUCUGGAUUAUUGUCAAGGUUUGCUUUGGGAAACAUGAUUUGAGAUAACUGUUUCCUGGUCUGGUUAAGUCAGGAAUGUACUCAUACUUUACUGAGUUGAACCGUGGGUCUAAGCUUGAUGGGUUGUCCUCUCGUACAGCUGUUUCUUUGAGCUGAUCCUGUUUGUCUACAAGAAACUACAAAAUCUUAUUUCCCUGAAUAAGGCAACAGAGUAUUCCUUCACCACUUGCUCCAAGCUACUAUCAGCCCACUACCCAAAAAGCUCUUUCCUUUUCUAAGCUUUUUUCAAGGCUCUGGGGAACAAAUUCAGAAAACACAUGCUUACAUACUCUUAUUUUUUCCUAGAUUUGCUGGGUGUUGGGGAGGUUACAGACACCUAAUCUUCACAUAAAAGUUGAGAAUUAAAAACUUUUUCUCCUUUAUAGGAAUGUCUUUUUGAUUUAGCAGGUCUUUGGAGUAUUUGAA